GGAGUUGUGGCUCAGUGGUUGAGCACUUGCUUCGCAUGCGUGAGGCACUGGGUUCGAACCUCAGCACCA
rnacentral:tRNA from 1 species